CUCAUUUGUUUCAAUAUUUAAUUGCAUGUAUUUCAGAAUUACUAGGCAACCCACCCCCAGAUGUGUAAUUGAAAGGUGAUGUGCUUGCAAUGAGAUUUUCAGGAUCUGCUCAGCAGAGCCCCAUCAUGUGAUGCUGGGAUAAGGUGGAGUUCGGCUUUAAGGGGGAGUCUCCAGCCUUCCUCACCAAUCUUUAGCAUCUCAGCUGGAGGCACAUCGGAGGAUCCUUCCCUUUCCCCUAUUCCUUCUCCCUGCAGCCCCCGAGAAGAUCGCGGAUAGGCGGAGCAGUUGCAAGGUCUUGCCAGGGAAAUGUGGCAUCAAGGAGUGGGCUCUGCUGAGGAGCUCCUCGUGGGCUGACUGACAUGUAUCGAAGGUCAGGAGUAGUUUUUGGAUGAGACCUGUGGCAGCUGGGAAUAUUAAACAGCAAGCUGGAAAAAAAAC
rnacentral:lncRNA from 1 species